rnacentral:rRNA from 1 species
CGCAAAACAGCUAGCCUCCACACAAAAUUUAAUAAUUAAAUAUAAAUAACUGAAAAAUAUUCAACUACCAAAUUAAACCAUUUUCCCACCUAAGUAUAGGCGAUAGAAAAGGACCUCAACUAGAGCUAUAGAAAAAGUACCGCAAGGGAAAGCUGAAAAAGAAAUGAAAAAAUUCAUAAUUAAGCACUAAAAAGCAGAGACUAACCCUCGUACCUUUUGCAUCAUGGUUUAGCAAGUAAAAUUCAGGCAAAGAGAUACUUAAGUCUGAACCCCCGAAACUAGACGAGCUACUCCGGGGCAGUCUCCAAGGACCAACCCGUCUCUGUGGCAAAAGAGUGGGAAGACCCCCGAGUAGAGGUGAUAAGCCUAACGAGCCUAGUUAUAGCUGGUUGCUUAAGAAAUGAAUAUCAGUUCAGCCCUAUGACUUUCUCGAACCAAAACUACAUAAUAUAAGAGUAAAGCAAGACAUAGAAGUUAGUCAAAGGGGGUACAGCCCCUUUGAAAAAGAAUACAACCUUAUUUAAGAGAGCAAGGAUCAUACUACCUUAUAAGGUUAAAUCUUCUCAGUGGGCCUAAAAGCAGCCACCCGAACAGAAAGCGUUAAAGCUCAGAAGAAUACUUAGACCAAUAAUAAAGAUAAUUACAUCCAAACUCCCUAAAAGAUAUUAAGCCGUUCUAUUUUUAAAUAGAAAAGAUAAUGCUAAAAUUAGUAAUAAGAGAAUAGCAUCUCUCCGAGCACAUGUGUAAGUCAGAUCGGACAAACCACUGACAAUUAACGGCCCCAGCAAAUGAGGGUACAAUCAGCCAAAACUAAACAACAAGAAGAUCCUGAUAUAUUAACCGUUAACCCAACACAGGCGCGCCACUUAAAGGAAAGACCAAAAGGAGUGGAAGGAACUCGGCAAACCCAAACCCCGCCUGUUUACCAAAAACAUCGCCUCUUGCUAAUAAAUUAUGUAUUAGAGGUCCCGCCUGCCCUGUGACCAUAAAUGUUUUAACGGCCGCGGUAUCCUGACCGUGCAAAGGUAGCGUAAUCACUUGUCUUUUAAAUGAAGACCCGUAUGAAUGGCACGACGAGGGUUUAACUGUCUCCCACACCCAGUCAAUGAAAUUGAUCUGUCCGUGCAGAAGCGGAUAUUAAAACAUAAGACGAGAAGACCCUAUGGAGCUUUAGGCCAAGGAUCAAACAUGUAAAAAAUCUGUUACCUCAAAAAGACAAAUAAAAAGCCUUAAACUAAUUGAUUAAUGAUCCAAGUACCUUCGGUUGGGGCGACCGCGGGGGAAAACAAAGCCCCCGAAUGGAACUGAAAACUUUCCAAGACAAGAGCUACAGCUCUAAGCAACAGAAAUCAUCUGACCAAAAAUGAUCCAGGAUAAAAUUAUACCUGAUCAAUGAACCAAGUUACCCUAGGGAUAACAGCGCAAUCCUUUCCCAGAGUCCAUAUCGACGAAAGGGUUUACGACCUCGAUGUUGGAUCAGGACAUCCUAAUGGUGCAGCCGCUAUUAAGGGUUCGUUUGUUCAACGAUUAACAGUCCUACGUGAUCUGAGUUCAGACCGGAGUAAUCCAGGUCGGUUUCUAUCUAUGAACCUGCCUCUUCCCAGUACGAAAGGACCGGAAGAAGGGGGCCUAUACCAAAAGCAAGCCCCACCCCCAACUCCUGAAAACAAAUAAAAGAAAUAAGGGGAAUGAAAUUUAUUAGCCAAAGAUAAUGGCAA